rnacentral:rRNA from 1 species
AGAGUUUGAUCAUGGCUCAGGACGAACGCUGGCGGCGUGCUUAACACAUGCAAGUGGAGCGACGAACCGGGGCUUGCCCCGGGGCAGAGCCGCGAACGGGUGAGUAACACGUGGGUAACCCACCUCGAUGACCGGGACAACCCGAGGAAACUCGGGCUAAUACCGGAUGUGAUCCUUUCUCGUAAGGGAAAGUAUGAAAGAUAGCUUCGGCCUUCGCAUCGAGACGGGCCCGCGGCCCAUUAGCUUGCUGGUGGGGUAAAGGCCUACCAAGGCUUCGAUGGGUAGCUGGUCUGAGAGGACGAUCAGCCACACUGGGACUGAGACACGGCCCAGACUCCUACGGGAGGCAGCAGUGGGGAAUCUUGCACAAUGCGCGAAAGCGUGAUGCAGCAACGCCGCGUGGGGGAAGACGGCCUUCGGGUUGUAAACCCCGUUUCAGUUGGGACGAAGCUUCGACGGUUAAUAGCCGACUGGAGUGACGGUACCUUCAGAAGAAGCCCCG